rnacentral:rRNA from 1 species
GUGAGUAAUGUCUGGGAAACUGCCUGAUGGAGGGGGAUAACUACUGGAAACGGUAGCUAAUACCGCAUAACGUCGCAAGACCAAAGAGGGGGACCUUCGGGCCUCUUGCCAUCGGAUGUGCCCAGAUGGGAUUACCUAUUAGGUGGGGUAACGGCUCACCUAUGCCACGAUCCCUAACUGGUCUGAGAGGAUGACCAGCCACCCUGGAACUGAGACACGGUCCACACUCCUACGGGAGGCAGCAGGGGGGAAUAUUGCACAAUGGGCGCAAGCCUGAUGCAGCCAUGCCGCGUGUAUGAAGAAGGCCUUCGGGUUGUAAAGUACUUUCAGCGGGGAGGAAGGAGAUAAGGUUAAUAACCUUGUCGAUUGACGUUACCCGCAAAAGAAGCACCGGCUAACUCCGUGCCACCAGCCGCGGUAAUACGGAGGGUGCAAGCGUUAAUCGGAAUUACUGGGCGUAAAGCGCACGCAGGCGGUCUGUCAAGUCGGAUGUGAAAUCCCCGGGCUCAACCUGGGAACUGCAUUCGAAACUGGCAGGCUAGAGUCUUGUAGAGGGGGGUAGAAUUCCAGGUGUAGCGGUGAUAUGCGUAGAGAUCUGGAGGAAUACCGGUGGCGAAUGCGGCCCCCUGGACAAAGACUGACGCUCGAGUGCGAAAGCGUGGGGAGCAAACAUGAUUAGAUACCCUGGUACUCCACGCCGUACACGAUGUCGACUUGGAGGUUGUGCCCUUGAGGCGUGGCUUCCGGAGCUAACGCGUUAACUCGACCGCCUGGGGAGUACGGGCCGCAAGGUUAAAACUCAAAUGAAUUGA